rnacentral:rRNA from 1 species
UACGUAGGGCGCGAGCGUUGUCCGGAAUCAUUGGGCGUAAAGAGCGCGCAGGCGGUCGUCCAAGUCGCGUGUGAAAGCCCCCGGCUCAACUGGGGAGGGUCACGCGAUACUGGUCGACUCGAAGGCAGGAGAGGGUAGUGGAAUUCCCGGUGUAGUGGUGAAAUGCGUAGAUAUCGGGAGGAACACCAGUGGCGAAGGCGACUACCUGGCCUGUUCUUGACGCUGAGGCGCGAAAGCUAGGGGAGCAAACGGG